AGCAGCGUGGCCUAGUGGAAAGGGCAUGGGCCUGGGAGUCAGAGGACUUGGGUUCUAAUCCCAGCUCUGCCC
rfam:Ornithorhynchus anatinus chromosome 7, whole genome shotgun sequence.